ACUCCUCCAUGGCCUCUGUAUCAGCUCUUGCCUCCAGGUUUCUGCCUUGAUUGAGUUCCUGCUCUCACUGGCUUUGCUAAACUGUUAUGUGGAAUUGUGAAUGAAAUAACUCUUCCUCCCCAACUAGCUUUUUGGUGUUUCUUCAUAGCAAUAGUAAUCUCCGCUAAAACAGGUGAGGUGAAAUCCCAGACCAUCCCAUGCGGAAUGCAUUAGAGUUUCAUGUUUAUGUUGGAAAUGAAUGCAUGCUUUGCAUUAUCAUAGUAAGGAACCAUUUGUUUUACAUUUGUGUUUGAAGUUAAUCUCUGAGUAAAGUGAAGGUUCAAAAUAAGCUGUUUUUUUGUGACUAAGGAAAAAGGUGGUGAGCUCCACUAUUGACAAAAUAACCUUUGUUGUGUUUUAAACAAAGGUUUCUUAUACGCAUAAAAACACUUUCCAUCAAAUGAGUGUUCCAGAAAUAACACAUUGUUAUUCAUAUUUUUCUUUGAAACUACAUGUUUACAUGCUUUUAAAAUUUUUGCUUUUUGAGAUAGGAUCUGAGCUCUCUGUGUACAUAAGGAGGACACCAUUCUCCUGCUUAUUCCUUUGAGUGCUAAGAAUCCAAUGUAUCGUACACCCCCGAUUUAGUUUUGUAGGAAAUUGUGAGAUUGAUUUGGAGAUCAAAAGAUAUUUUUGUAGAGCUGGUGUGAAAAGUAUACAGAUCCAUGGGACAAUGCGGG
rnacentral:sRNA from 1 species